UUGCUGUGGCAGCACAUAUACUAAAAUUGAAACAAUACAGAGAAGAUUAGCAUGACCCUGCGCAAGGGUGACACCCAAGUCUGUGAAGCAUUCCAUAUGUUU